GAAAAAGCAUAUCCAAAUCGGGAGAACCCGAUUCUUCCUUCCCCUUUCUCCUUCUUUUCGCGCACAGUAACUGGAGAAAACAUUUCCGGCUAAUUUGUCGUCGUCAAGCCACCCCAAGUCGUCUCACCGGUCAGAAAGCUUCCUCUCUUCCUCCUCUUCCAUCUCAGCUUGAAUCGACCGGUAGAGGAGAAAUUCGAGAUGAACAGUAGCGUGAACAGUAGCUGACGAGUUCUUGGUUUUUGGUUGAUUUUUCCGGCUAUUUCUGCUUGAUUUUUGGUUGUGGUUGCAGGACGUACUGAUCCCUCGAGCGAGGAGGACACGGGCAGGCAGCAGGAUUAGCUGCGAGACUCACCAAUUUUCAGAUUUGCCGAGGCCGCGUCCAGGAACUUGAGGCAUAGGAAUCUGCGCUUCCGUUUUGACUGUAGGUUAAUACUUAACCUACCUUGUAUGAUAUCGGCUUAGUUAUGUAGCACUGCUCUGAUAACCUUUUAAAUUUGGAGAAUGUUAUUCCCUGAGAAUUUGUUAUUGUAGUGAAGUUAAGAUGGGAUUCAUACUUUCGGAAUGUAACAUAUAGACUUGGAAUGUAAAUGUUGGAAUGUGUAU